rnacentral:rRNA from 1 species
ACUCAAAUGAAUAGACGGGGGCCCGCACAAGCGGAGGAACAUGUGGUUUAAUUCGAUGAUACGCGAGGAACCUUACCCAGGCUUAAAUUGCAGAUGAAUAUAGUAGAAAUAUUAUAGCCUUCGGGCAUCUGUGAAGGUGCUGCAUGGUUGUCGUCAGCUCGUGCCGUGAGGUGUCGGCUUAAGUGCCAUAACGAGCGCAACCCUUAUUGAUAGUUACUAACAGGUUAAGCUGAGGACUCUAUCGAGACUGCCGUCGUAAGAUGCGAGGAAGGUGGGGAUGACGUCAAAUCAGCACGGCCCUUACGUCUGGGGCUACACACGUGUUACAAUGGGGGGUACAGAAGGUCGCUACCUGGCAACAGGAUGCUAAUCCCAAAAGCCUCUCUCAGUUCGGAUUGGAGUCUGCAACCCGACUCCAUGAAGCUGGAUUCGCUAGUAAUCGCGCAUCAGCCACGGCGCGGUGAAUACGUUCCCGGGCCUUGCACACACCGCCCGU